rnacentral:lncRNA from 1 species
GGGUUGCAGCAGCUCAGACAAUCCUUACCAUGUGAAAGGAGGAAUGACUGUCAUGGCAUGAAAAAAGCAUCACUAUGCUUCACGUAGCUCACUGGAAUUCUGCAAAGUACUCCAGCCUUGCUGAAGCUGCCUCAAAGGCUGAUGGUUUGGCAGUUAUUGGUGUUUUGAUGAAGGUUGGUGAGGCCAACCCAAAGCUGCAGAAAGUACUUGAUGCCCUCCAAGCAAUUAAAACCAAGGUAAACACACUAAAUAAGUAGUUUAAAUCAGAGAACAAGAAUUUACAGAUCUAUGGAAAUCAUUUAAUGAAGUAUUAAAACUGGGGAGUAGGAAGGCCAUAGUAAAAGCUACCAACUGA